rnacentral:tRNA from 1 species
GCUUCCGUAGCUCAGUUGGUCAGAGCGUCCGCCUGUCGAGCGGAGGGCCGCCGGUUCGAGUCCGGUCGGAAGCG